rnacentral:sRNA from 1 species
CCAACAGUUAUGAGCCCAGGUUAGCUAUCUAUCACUAUACUUAUAUCUAUAUCUUAUAUCUAUUCUGAUAUCUAUCCAUACCGACCUCCUUAUCGGCACAGAUAUCUAUUUGAUUAUAUCUAUCUAUCUGAUCUCACUGACCUCCUUAUCAGCAACAAUAUCAGCAUAUUCUAUAUCCUAUCAAUUCUAUAUUGAUUUAUAUCUGUUUGAUCUAUAAUAUCAACUGAUUUGUUGGUUUUCUAUAUUGACAUUAUUUCUAUCAAGAUGGCAACAGAAAUUAGCUCAUUCAAAUCAACAAUUAUUUUAGAUUCUUCCAAGAAUUGAAAUCUGUGGUACAAGAUAAUACUAGACCUAAUAUCAGAUU